rnacentral:snRNA from 1 species
CAGGCUGUGGAAAGCUAUAAGAA